rnacentral:rRNA from 1 species
GACGAACGCUGGCGGCGUGCUUAACACAUGCAAGUCGAACGGAAAGGCCCUGCUUUUGUGGGGUGCUCGAGUGGCGAACGGGUGAGUAACACGUGAGUAACCUGCCCUUGACUUUGGGAUAACUUCAGGAAACUGGGGCUAAUACCGUAUAGGAGCUCCUGCUGCAUGGUGGGGGUUGGAACGUCUCGGCGGUUGGGGAUGGAUUCGCGGCUUAUCAGCUUGUUGGUGGGGUAGUGGCUUACCCAGGCUUUGAAGGGUAGCCGGCCUGAGAGGGUGACCGGCGACAUUGGGACUGAGAGACGGCCCAGACUCCUACGGGAGGCAGCAGUGGGGAAUAUUACACAAUGGGCGGAAGCCUGAUGCAGCAACGCCGCGUGCGGGAUGACGGCCUUCGGGUUGAAAACCGCUUUCGCCUAAGACGAAGCGUGAGUGACGGUAAUGGGUAAAGAAGCACCGGCUAACUACGUG